AGAAGUUCAAAAACAAGACAAUCUUGAUAAAGCAAAGUUUGGCCAUUUUGGCCACCAUCCAGAAAACACAAGCCACAUAAAAGGACCACUAUUUACUGUUCUAAAUGUGUUCAACCACUAAAUGGUCCAAAACACUUAAAUCACACCCAUGAGCACAAGAUAUAUGCUCCAAAACACUUGAAGUAGCAAAUGGUCCAGAACACACAUAAGAUUCAUGAUCACAAGUUGGCUGGUCCAAAAUACUCGAAACAGCCAAAUGCUGCGGAACACUCUGAAGUCAUCACAUCCAUGCGCAGUAGGUGGCUGAGUAGCUGAAAAUAUUCCACACGAUCUUAAUGAUAAGAGUCUAAUGAAAAUAUGCUCAGUCAAUAUCUAACAUAAGUGCAAAUAUCAUUUUGUAUUGACACCUAAUUAAGACAGACAUGUAUCAAAUGUUUUAUUCAAAAGUGGAUCCAUAAAAGUUAUUAACAAUAUGGAGGAAAUUGUCAUAGGUAUCUUGAGGCUUUCGGUCAAAUUCUCAUAUGUUCAAACUGAAUGGUGCUGCAAACAUAAAUGUGUGGGUGAAAAUAAAUGGUCAAAUUCUCAUAUAUUCACCCCAAUGAUUUUGUGCACUUCAAAGUUUGAAAAUAAAUGUGAAAAACAAUUGUGGUCGUAUGUUAUCUAAUGAACUAGAAUUAAAAUGUACAGCUUCAGACCAAAAAACUGCAGUAUGUGAAGUUCUGUAUAUGCCAUGUCAUCUUUAGAUUGUGACCAUCAAAGUCUUAACACCAAACUAAUUAGAAAGUAGGCCAAGGGACUGCAAGCAUGUCUUACAUAUAUGCUAACUACUAAGCAAUGUAUAUGAGCAUCAGAUUACAUCAUGUGAUUUCAUAUUUUUAAUUUUAAAACUGCAGUAUGUGGAGUUCAGUUCUAUAUACAAGACACAAAAAGUUAUCUAGUGAUGCUAUUUCUUAUAUACAAGACACAAAACAUACUCACAUCGCCUAUUUCUUAUGCAAAUUAUUCCAGUUCAUAGGCUGCUUCUUCCACUGCAUGUUGCUCUAAAAAGUGUGAAGACAUGUAUCAACCACCCUGUAAAAAUGAAAACUAUGUUUAAUAAUAUAGAUAACUCGGCUGACCAUAAAUCAAAUUAGAAAGUAGGCCAAGGGACUGCAAAGUUAUGUCCUUGGUAAGUUUAAUGGAUGAACUUUUCAAAUGCACAAAUGAUGUUCAAGUAAUAUUAGGCCACCACUGUUAUGCGGCUGCUAGAAGAAGGGCGCGAGAGGGCCGGCCGGGGGCCUUUUUGCCCACGGCCAGGCAAGAGGGAAGAGAUUUCCUUCUUAAUUCUUGCUUGAUUAGAUUGAUACAUCUCCUCUCUUUAUAUAGAGAGGUUUACUUGAGUUUCAAGCAAGGCUUACUUGACCCCUAAGCAAACGACCCUUAUCUCUAAUUAACCCUAAGACUAAUAGGCCCAUUAGACCCAUUACAUACUCUAACACUACACCCCACCUGGACAUGCAGCUUGUCCUCGAGCUGUAGCCUAACCAACUUAUAACCAUGAGUUGACACAACACAAACCUAACACCUAAAAACAAGCCUUUUACAUCUCGGCUUGUCUUAUUAUUCUCAACCUAAAAUAGACUAGGACGCUUUAUUUUGGACGUGCACGUGUACAGCCACCUGGAUCCCAUGGACACCACCUGGACAAAAGGAGUGCAUGUGUAUGGCUGUUGGUCUGCACCUCACAGGAAAGAGUGGAGGGCUUGCGAUGCAGAAUGACGACGAGGGGUGCGCCCCCAACCGCCGAUGACGCAGACUUUGAGGUCGCUGCCCGCGAGGAAAACAACAUGCCGGCCGCCCGUGGGGGAAGCCACAUGCCCAAGAUCCCCGACACAGCGGACGAGAUUGAGGUCCUUUGCGCAGCGCAGGGCAACUUGGAGGAGCGACAGCUGCAGACCACGCAUCUCCCGCACACGCCGACGCGCUAGGAGGCCGCGCGCAGCAACCUGCAGCCCCACCGCCGCCGAUACGUGGCGGGUAGCGAUCCAAGACGUAAGCGGUGACGGCGACGGUAGGGACUUCAUCUGCUGGAUGUGGACGCCUUGGGAUGGUGGCGGCGCUGAUGGGAGCGAGGUCGUCGCACUCCCGUCGUAGGGCAUCCCAUACUGGGCGGCGAAGCUGACCGGCGAUGGCUGCUGCAGCUGCAGCGGCUGCUGCGCUGUCGCGCCGGGCAGCGGCAACGGUUGCUGUGGCGAAGCGCCGGGCACGGCGGAGGCCGCCAGGAGCGGCGGCUGCCACUGCAGCCAGGGCUGGGUGGUGGCAGCGAUGGAUGGCAGCUGCAGCGGCCCGGCGAGCGCGGCGAAGGCCGCCUGGUGCGGCGGCUGGCACGGCAGCCACUGCGGCGCGGGGGCGGCGAUGGGCGGCGCAACCGAGUGUGGCCCGUAGGACCCGGCCAAGAACAGGUGGAUCUCCUGGACCGCCUGGGUUAGGUCCCGCAGCACCCCGGACACCUCCUCCCAGGUGAGGACGGUGGGGGCGGGCGGGACAGAGGAUCCCGGCGCAGGCAGGAGCAGGGUGACGGUCGUGGUGGUCGCCGGAGUCGACAGGGUGACCGGCAGCAGAAGAGACGGGCUUGGCAGCGGUGAAGACAUGAUCGAACCGAAGCUAGCUGAUACCAAUUGUUAUGCGGCUGCUAGAAAAAGGGCGCGAGAGGGCCGGCCGGGGGCCUUUUUGCCCACGGCCGGGCAAGAGGGAAGAGAUUUCCUUCUUAAUUCUUGCUUGAUUAGAUUGAUACAUCUCCUCUCUUUAUAUAGAGAGGUUUACUUGAGUCUCAAGCAAGGCUUACUUGACCCCUAAGCAAACCACCAUUAUCUCUAAUUAAUCCGAAGACUAAUGGGCCCAUUAGGCCCAUUACGUACUCUAACACUUUGCCCACGGCCGGGCAAGAGGGAAGAGAUUUCCUUCUUAAUUCUUGCUUGAUUAGAUUGAUACAUCUCCUCUCUUUAUAUAGAGAGGUUUACUUGAGUCUCAAGCAAGGCUUACUUGACCCCUAAGCAAACAACCCUUAUCUCUAAUUAACCCUAAGACUAAUGGGCCCAUUAGGCCCAUUACAUACUCUAACAACCACCAAAAUAAAGACAAAUAUCUCAUAAAAGCACCAUGUACGGAGAUUAGUAAGAUUUAAGUACUGUCUUAUUCUUGAACUAGAUCGUCAUUAUUAUAAUUCAAGUUCUUGUCUUCCUGCUGCUUACAGUCAGAAUGGGGUUGAUUGGCUACAAUUAGUUAUAAAUCUGCUCAAACCACAAACUAUCCAUCUUUUCCAUUUUAAAUAGACAUGUUAGAAUUAAUAGCCUGGCCUAUUAGUGAUUGAUGCUACAUCAGGCCCCGUCCAACAAGCAGUACAGCAGACACGAACCUUGUUGUUUUGGUACCGGCCACCACCACCACCAGCAUACCCAUUAGGUCCAUAGUUCACAACAUUAUUAUAUGGCACCUGUGGAAUUAUCAUAUACCCAACAGAAACAGCGACAGGGUACCUAGGGAAAUCAAGGCCUGGAUAUUUUGAAGUGAAAGAAAUGAGUAAGAGAAAUAAUUAUGCCAUAUCUGCUGGGUGAAUCCAGCUAUAAAUAUCACGAAUGCCAAGGGAAUGUCUAGCUGCACAUGUCAAUAUAUCCCAGCAUUCUCAGUUGUGACAUUCUAAAUGGUGUUGUGACUUGUUUUUAGAAAAAAACAUGCUAAAUGCUAUAUUCUUCAAAGCAAGAGAGGAAUUAUGAGAAGGCACCCCAUUUAAGCAAGCAAGAAGCAGAGUGGUAAAAUUAGAACUAAAAAGUGGUGAAAAUUCUAGGAUUUACCUGCAUAUGUAAACUGGGAGCUCAAAUUAGGUGGGUAAUGAACAUCCUCAGACAACUUGCUUAAUAUCAAAUAUAUGGCUCGCAUCUGACUAUUUAAUGGUCCUGUGAUGGUAACACAAAUGGAGAUUCUACUUAACACCAAUACUUAUUACCACAAAUAGUUAAGACAGUAGUAUCUGACACAUAAAUAUAUCUAUCUUCUAUCUCAUCUGGAAAAAAAAGAACGGAAAGGAACAUGUUAUUUACCUAGACAAUGUUGGCAUUAUAGGCAGCCCGUUAAAAAUUUUAUCCCCAACUGCAUACUUGAUAAUCCAACAAUAUUUAUAAAAUGCUGAGUGUGCAGUGCUAAGCUUACGAUUAUCUCAUUCUGCAUUUGCAAUUUGAUAAUUUACAGUUGCAAAUUUGUCCAAUAAGAAUAUUUCACUUCAGUCCUUUGACUGUGCAACUGACUUUUUUAUAGUGAGUUAUAUAUCUAUCAAACCUGCUAUAAACUAGGUUGGAAUCUAAUUUUCUCCACAAAAAUUGAAACCAGCCCGACCAUCUAUAGCAUCAACGAGAGCUUAUAGCCUACAUGCUAGCUACAAAAAGAAGUGUUACUCCAGAAUUAUUAUUUAUUAUAGCAGUAGCAUCAGUAUAGCUGGUUACGCAUAUAUCUGAUUAACUCAUCAUGCCGAUGCAAACCUAGAAUUCAGAAAUUUGCAAGCUUAGAAUUCAGGAACUAAAGUACCAUGUCCCUCUAGCCAUCGAUCAGGCCAAAGAAUUAGAAACAUUAACAAGGUAUGAAUUCUUUGCUUCUCAGUACUAUACGGAUCCAACUAGUAACCUUCGUAAUACUACACACUCUUCUUAAACAAAAAGGGGCUGAUUAAGUGAGCAUGCAUCAGGUUAUGCUUCAGAUCAACAACAUGUCCAAACCACUCCAUAGUAACUACCAACAGUACAACUCUCAAGUUGCAGCAACCUAGCAGUUCGAUCUACUCGAGACACAGGGAAGAACAAGAACAAAGAAACAAAUUGGGGAUCCACCAUCGGUGCAUACCUAGCAACGCACACUCCCUCCAGCCGGAGGUGCUUCCGUAGUUAUGGCGAUGCUGGCGCUUGCAGAUGGCAGCCUCCGACGUAGUUAUUGCGAUCCUGCCUCUGUCAGCGGCUGUGUGACUCCAAGGAAGGAAGGAGGGGAUGGGGUCGGGGACACAGGGACGUGGAUUGGGGUUGGGGGCGGAGGACAGAAGGAUCUCGGGGUCGGUCUAUCGGUGGCUGCGACCCCGGCGCGGUGGUAGGGAACAUGUGUCGAUGGGGUCGGGGGAAGCGUGAGGACGAUGGCAGCAAGGACGAGGAUGACGCUGGAGCGCGAGGACGG
rnacentral:lncRNA from 1 species